rnacentral:lncRNA from 1 species
UAUUAUUAUUAUUAUUAUUAAUGUACAGCUUCAGAAUUCCUUAUUUUCCCUAAUUAAUUAGUAGUAUUAUUUCUUCUUUAUAAUUGUUGCAUUCAAAAUUCUAGUUAACGAUCAAACAGUUAUCUUUGUGGUUGUUGUUAAUAUAAAUAAUAUUAAUUCUAUAAGACCAUUCUCGGGACGUAUUCCAAUGAAUUCUACAAAACUAAGGUAAGAAUUUUAAAAAAUGAUAUUUCUAAAUUUCUUUUUUUAUAUACUUGAAAAGCAUACUGACGCACACACACACAAACACACACACACACACGCAUACAACACAGGGUCAUAACUAUACUAUACAUAUUAUUCACAGUUGCACACGCAAACAUUAACCAAUAUACAUAUGUAUGUAUGGAUAUAUAUAUAUAUAUAUAUAUAUGCGUGUGUGCAUGUGUGUGUGUAUGUAUUAAUAUAUAUAUAUAUAUAUAUAUAUAUAUAUGUAUGUAUUUAUGCAUGUGUAUGUAUAUAUAUAUGUAUGUAUCUAUGUAUGCAGGUGUGAAUAUGUGUGUAUGGAUGUCUGUGAGAAAGAGAGGGGGACAAUGUGGCGAAGAAGAGAGAGAGAAAAAGAAACGUUUUAUGAGAGUAUAUACAAUAAGAGCAUAUUAUGUAAUAUAUUUACUUAUUGGUUGGAAAAUGUGUUUGUGAUAUAAAUUGAAGAAUUUUCUAUGGAUAUCAUCAACGAAAAUUUCUCUCUCUAGAUUUCACUGACACCUUAGCGUCUCACACGCAUUAUCUCUCCACAUUCACACACACACACACACACACACACACUCCCUCUCUGUCACUCUCUAUCUCUCUAUCUCUCUUCCUCGCUUUCUUUUUCUAACUUUUUCCAUAUAUAUAUAUAUAUACACACACAUAUAUGUAUAUCUUUGCGUGCGUGUGUCUGUGCGUACUUGUUUGAAUUUCUGUUGGAAUGUGUUCUUGUGUUUCUGAGUCCAAUCUAUAAUUAUUACGUGUUAAUGGAUUUUUCUAAUUCUCUCACUUUUUUAUACAUGUAUAUAUAUAUAUAUAUAUAUAUAUAUAUAUAUAUAUAUAUAUAUAUGUAUGUAUAUAUGGAUAUAUAUAUAUGUGUGUGUGUGUAAGUAUUUAUGGAUAUAUGCAAAUUUAUAUAUGCAUGGAUAUAUAUGUAUAUUUACGUAUAUAUAUAUAUAUAUUUAAGCAUAUAUUUGUGUGUAUAUGUGUGUACAUGUGUGUGGCGGUGAAUGUGUGUGUAUUCUUAAAAUUUGUUUUAUGAAAAUUUCUUUACGAUAUUUUAUUCUCUUUUCUAAAUUCUAUAAUUUUUCUAUAAUUCAGCUCUUUCAGUAUACAUAAACAAGGCUACACUAUAUGUAUAUAUAUAUAUAUACAUAUAUAUUUUUAUGUGUAUACCCAUAUAUAUAUGUAUAUAUAUGCAGACACACACACACACACAUAUAUAUAUAUAUAUAUAUAUAUAUAUAUAUAUAUAUGCACACACACACGCAUAUAUAUAUAUACAUAUAUUUGUAAGUAUAUGUAUAUGCUUGUUUAUGUUUUGUCUAUUUCUAUAUCUAUGUAAAUAUAUGUAUUUGUAUAUAUAUAUAUAUAUAUAUAUAUAUAUAUAUAUAUAUAUAUAUAUAUGUGCGUGUAUGUACGUAUGCAUGCAGAUUCUUUUUGCUUUUGUGCAUAUCGCCAUACAUCGUAUAAUCGCAUUAUAUUCUAACUCUGGUUUCAUUGUGUUUCUCUCACAUUUAUUAGAACUUGUAACUAUAUUUCUACAAUAAAAUAAUACCAGUUAUCCAACGAAGUCCUUGAAAUCCUACUUCACUCUCUCUCUCUCUAAAUUAGCGAUCUCCUUAUCUCUACACAAAGAUUUAUUCUUCUAAAUAUCAACGAUAUAUAAUCAUUACGAAAAUGAACCUGCAUGUUUGUCCUAUAGAAGUCUUGGUUUCUAAACACCUUGAUUCAGCUUAUAAAAGUGAAGAUUUGAAAGAGGCAUCCAUUCCUCAAAUUCCCACCAUUUUUUCAUUUUGACCAAUUAAAAGUAUCCGAAAUUCUUGGCUGUCAAACUAUAGGGUAUGGUAAACUAUACGAAGGUAUCCUUCAUAUAUUGGUUUCAUUAAGUGAUCAAUUAAUGUAAUUUCCUACCCGGCCUAUGGCUGAGAUAUCAUAAUAGUUACAGUUUGUUUAGCGAUUUAAUGAGGUGGACAAACGAGAGUAAUAAAAUAUAUGUUGUGGGUCCGAUAGUUUUCAAAGAUAUAACUUUAUAACCGUUCCAUGAAAGAUCCAUUCCAAAUCAUUAAUCGAUGCCAUCAACAAAACUAUUUCCUUCUAAGGAAAUGUGGUCGAGAUAUCAUAGUUCUUUUGACUAUUAAGCUAUAUAUAUAUAUAUAUAUAUAUAUAUAUAUAUAUAUAUAUAUAUAUAUAUAUAUAUAUAGAUAGAUAGAUAGAUACAUACAUACAUACAUACAUACAUACAUAUAUAGAUACAUAUAUAUAUCCAUAUACAUACAUAAAUAUAUACAUAGAUAGAGAGAGAGAGAAAGCGAGGGAGGGAGGGAGAGUUAAAUAGAUAUAGAUAAGACGAUAAACUGUUAGUAUUUAUUUCACAGUAUUCGAGAGGAUUUGUGCCUAAAACAAUGUCCCAUAUUUGUGGAUGUUCUAACCAAUCCUUAGGGCCCACGUCUAACAGCCCGUAGUGAUGACAUUCUUAAGGUGAACAUAGUGGUUUUCAAUGGUCAUAGAGGCAUCUCUUUCUGUGAUUUAUCAGAACCUUUCACAAAUUAGACAUGAAACCAAUAUUUGCUUGAGACAUUGAGUUGCCUACAGUUUCCAGUGACAGACUAGCGUACCACGACUGUUAAAGAUAUAUGCAGUGAAUAUAUUGAAAUAAUAUUCAAUGAAUAUGAAUUGAAAUUUUAAAUUUAAUUUAUUAGCUUCAAAUUUUGGUACAAAGCCAGCCAUUUUAGGGGAUGGGAAAAAUCGAUGGGAAAAAUCGACCCGAAUGUUCAGAAGGUAAUUAUUUUAUCGACCCGAAAGGAUUACAGGUAACGUCGGCCUCGGCGAAAUUUGAGCUCUGAUCAUAAAGACGGAUGAGAUACCACUAGAUAUUUUGCUCGGUGGCUAAACGAUUCCGCGUGCACGCCAUCUUAAUUUUAAGCAUAAUUUAUUUAUAACUAUAUUUUACAAUUGAUGAUUGUAUGCAAAAACAAAUAAAAAGAUAAAUAAAAUAGAAAAAAUAAGAAAAAGCGUCAAAUAUUCAUUUGUUUUACCUCAGGCGUGAAGUAAAAAUCGCUUUGAAACUUUAGCAUUAGGGUAGGAUAAAUACCUCAGAGGUGUCAAAUCUUGGAACCCAUUUAACUUAUUUCUGCAUGAAAAUUCCUUCAGGAAUUUAAUGACUUUAGGGAUGAGAAGAGCGGAACUCUGAAGAUAGGAUCAACUCUCACACAUUUGAUAUAUCUUUAUUAGUGUUCCACCCAGAUCGACUUUGCCUUUCAUCCUUUAGGUUCAAUAUGUCAAGAACCAGUUGCACACUGGAGGUUGAUGGAAUCAAUUUACCCACUGCCCCGAAAUUGCUGGCCUUAGGUCAAAAUUUGAAUAGUUGUUAGUAAUUUACUAUUUGUUGUUACUAUAUUACUAUAUCACUCUAUUACUAUAUUAGUGUAUUACUUAUGGACUUCGUGCUUAAUUAAACUGACCCCACCGCCUCCAGAUUGCCCUGUUGCUUCAGUUUCUUUAGUAUGCGCCUGUUAACUACUGGUUUCUCACCCUUACACGAUGGUACUACCUAUUUUUUAAUAUAUGAGAGAACCUUCGUAAAGCAAAUCUCCACAAAUCUAUUACAUUAUCCCUUUAACGCUCCAAUUUCACUCACACUCAUUUUCUCGUUCUCCCUCGAAAUCCGUCAAAUGUUUUACGACAUAAACUUUCUCUGUUUUUAAUGUUAUACAGACAAUAAUUUUUUUUUUGCUUUUUAAAUAACGAAAACCGAAAGAUUUGAAACCUUAUUUCAAUGGAUGUAAAUCUGUCUCAUCGAAUUAUCAAGAAUUUCAGACUUUUGCCGUUUCGUGUGCCAGCCUUACCAUGCAAACAGAUAACAGUAUCUAUUAAUGUCUUCGAUAUUCCAUUCACUAUUUUAAACCUAUAGGGACACUUUCUUUAAUAUUCUGUGCAGAUUCUUGUCUCCCUCACUGAGAGCCAAAUGCUGAUUGCUUCAUAUAUAUUAAUACCUUAAAUUUGAUUCAUGGUUUCUAGAACCGGUUUUCAUUAAACUGUUAAUUUCCCUAUGACAGUAUCACUGCAAACAAUUAUAACAACAUCAAGUGUUUACAUUUUGGAAUAUUUACGUAUGUGAACUCCUCGUGCUGACCGAGAAGAAAUUAUGAUACGAGACUAAUAAGAUUAUGCAGUCUGCUACCAGUUCUUUGAGGCUUCACUUAAUCUUGCGACCGAUUUUCUCAUGAGUUUCCUCUUGUAAUUUAAUAAACGAAAAUUGACUCUUAUCAUAAGGACACAGAAACUGAGUCUCGUUAGAAUAUUUCUUCAGUCAAAGAAUUAGGUACUUCGCAAACGAUAGCCUUAUUUUACCAUAUUUCUUUUCCAUCAAAGAUAUCCUCUCAUAAGCAAUGAUCCCCGUUUCGAUAUUUUCAUCUAUCCAUUGAGCCAUGAUAAAUAUAUAUACAUAUAUAUAUGUUUGUGUGUGUGUGUGUGAGAGAGAGAGAGAGAGAGUGUGUGUGUGUGUGUAUAAUACACACACUCGUACACACACAUGUAUGCCGUUCAAGAAUUUGAACCUGGAGAUCUCCAUUUCCAUUGACUUCGAGGGCCAACUUCCAGUGGUGACGGACGUCAACGAAGAGCCCUCGACUACAACAAAAGGACCAACGUUAUUUUCGAAGGUCGGGGGGUCUCCCGACCCUAAGCUCUAGACCAUCACCUAAUCACCCUUAUCCGUCUUGUUGCUUAACAACAUAAAAACACACAUGUAUGUAUGCAUUAUGUAUGCA